GACGAACGCUGGCGGCGUGCCUAAUACAUGCAAGUAGAACGCUGAAGGAGGAGCUUGCUUCUCUGGAUGAGUUGCGAACGGGUGAGUAACGCGUAGGUAACCUGCCUGGUAGCGGGGGAUAACUAUUGGAAACGAUAGCUAAUACCGCAUAAGAGUGGAUGUUGCAUGACAUUUGCUUAAAAGGUGCACUUGCAUCACUACCAGAUGGACCUGCGUUGUAUUAGCUAGUUGGUGGGGUAACGGCUCACCAAGGCGACGAUACAUAGCCGACCUGAGAGGGUGAUCGGCCACACUGGGACUGAGACACGGCCCAGACUCCUACGGGAGGCAGCAGUAGGGAAUCUUCGGCAAUGGACGGAAGUCUGACCGAGCAAC
rnacentral:rRNA from 1 species